UACGGGGGGGGCAAGCGUUGUUCGGAAUUACUGGGCGUAAAGGGCUCGUAGGCGGCCAACUAAGUCGGACGUGAAAUCCCUCAGCUUAACCUGGGAACUGCAUCCGAUACUGGAUGGCUUGAAUCCGGGAGAGGGAUGCAGAAUUCCAGGUGUAGCGGUGAAAUGCGUAGAUAUCUGGAGGAAUACCGGUGGCGAAGGCGGCAUCCUGGACCGGCAUUGACGCUGAUGAGCGAAAGCUAGGGGAGCAAACGGG
rnacentral:rRNA from 1 species